CCUACGGGUGGCAGCAGUGGGGAAUAUUGCACAAUGGGGGAAACCCUGAUGCAGCUACUCCGCGUGUGUGAAGAAGUAUUUCGGUAUGUAAAGCUCUAUCAUCGGGGAAGAAAAUAACCGUACCUGUUUAAGAAGCCCCUGCUAACUACGUGCCAGUAGCCGCGGUAAUACGUAGGGGGCAAGCGUUCACCGGAUUUACUGGGUGUAAAGUGAGCGUAAACUGCAGCACAAGUCUGGAGUGAAAUGCCGGGGCUGAACCCGUGAAUUGCUUUGGACACUGUGCAGCUAGAGUGCAGGAGAGGUAAGUGGAAUUCCAAGUGUAGCAGUGAAAUGCGUAGAUAUUAGGAGGAACACCAGUGGCGAAGGCGGCUUACUGGAAUAUAACUGACGUUGAGGCUCGAAAGCGUGGGUAGCAAACAGGAUUAGAUACCCUAGUAGUC
rnacentral:rRNA from 1 species